rnacentral:rRNA from 1 species
UGGGGAAUAUUGCACAAUGGGCGAAAGCCUGAUGCAGCGACGCCGCGUGAGGGAUGACGGCCUUCGGGUUGUAAACCUCUUUCAGCAGGGACGAAGCGCAAGUGACGGUACCUGCAGAAGAAGCACCGGCUAACUACGUGCCAGCAGCCGCGGUAAUACGUAGGGUGCAAGCGUUGUCCGGAAUUACUGGGCGUAAAGAGUUCGUAGGCGGUUUGUCGCGUCGUUUGUGAAAACCAGCAGCUCAACUGCUGGCUUGCAGGCGAUACGGGUAGACUUGAGUACUGCAGGGGAGACUGGAAUUCCUGGUGUAGCAGUGAAAUGCGCAGAUAUCAGGAGGAACACCGGUGGCGAAGGCGGGUCUCUGGGCAGUAACUGACGCUGAGGAACGAAAGCGUGGGUAGCGAACAGG